GAAGUUCUAUAGUCCUUUCACGAUCCUCCUCGAAUGCAUCAGUGAAGUUUCUUAUUGCUUGAAGUUACCAUAAGAUAGUUGAAUCAAUCUGAUUUUUCAUGUCUCCACACUGAAAUUAUUCUGAGACAAUUCCGCAACAACAUGUCCUUGUUCAAUGGUCGGGAUGGGAGUAUUUUUUCUUACAUAAAAGUUGUACUUCUAUCCGUCCACCUUGAAGACAAUGUGAUUUUCGAAGGCGGAGGGAAUGAUAUGGGCCCAACUCAAGAAGAGACCACAGGCCCUAAAUACAUUGAAGAAGAGGAACUAGGCCUAGGUAAAAUGCAAUCCAAAAAGCCUAAAUGGUUGGAGAAUUUUGUAUGCACUUAAAGGUUCUAGAAGAAUGGUGACAAGAAUAUUGAGCAUAGUAAUUAUUUCCAUUUGUGUUUGUUAUUUCCAUUUCAUCUCUUGAGUUUACGCUAGUUUGUUAUAAGGUUGUAUGCAACCAUCUCUUUAUAUGCAGUGUACUCGUAAUCCGUAAGAUAUGAUACAUUUUGAGCAGAUUCUCCCUUUUUGAAAUCUUCUUUAUUUCUUCUCUUAACUUCUUGGAGUCAAUUACCUUAAUCACUUAGUUGACU
rnacentral:lncRNA from 1 species